CUUUAAAGGGCCCUGCCCCGCCCGAAGCGUCCCCAGGGAGGGAUCGCUGGUGGGGCCGCAGCCCGGCCCGGUCUGCCCCGCCCGGCAGGUGUAAGCUCCAAAAGCGCGUUCACUUCAGGCUAUGAUGGGAUUGUUUUGGUUGUUGCUGCUUUACAUCCACAUGCUGUUACCUGCAUUUGCUGGAGGUGUCACCCGAGUCUAUUACCUGGGGAUCCAUGAGGUGAACUGGAACUAUGCUCCAACAGGGAAGAACGUGCUUGCUAACCAAAGCAUCACACAUAACCCCAAGGCCUCAAAAUUCCUCCAGCCUGGAAAAGACAGGGUGGGAAGCACGUACAAGAAAUCUGUCUAUAAGCAGCACACAGACUCCACGUACACCACUGAGAUUCCCAAACCUAGCUGGCUGGGGUUCCUUGGGCCCAUCAUCCGAGCAGAAGUGGGGGAUACCAUUAAAGUACACCUAAAAAAUUUUGCUAAGCGACCAUACACAAUCCAUCCUCACGGUGUUUUCUACGAAAAGGACUCUGAAGGAUCCCUGUAUCCUGAUAUGUCCCCCCAGGAUCAGAAGAAGGAUGAUGCUGUUUUCCCAGGAGGGAAUUACACCUAUACUUGGACUGUCCCUGAAGAUCACAGCCCAACUGCUGAUGACCCAAACUGCUUGACGUGGAUCUACCACUCCCAUAUUGAUGCACCAAAGGACAUUGCAUCUGGAUUAAUUGGGCCGUUACUUACAUGCAAAAAAGGAAUGCUGACUGGCAGUUCUCAGAGACGCCAGGAUGUGGACAUUGAUUUCUUUCUGAUGUUCAGUGUGGUGGAUGAGAACCUAAGCUGGUAUCUGGAUGAGAACAUAGCAUUGUUCUGCACAGAUCCAGCCUCAGGAAACAAAGAUGAUGAGGAAUUUCAAGAGAGCAACAAAAUGCAUGCUAUUAAUGGCUAUGUGUUUGGAAACCUCCCUGAGCUGACGAUGUGUGCUGGGGAUUAUGUUUCAUGGCAUCUCUUCGGGAUGGGCAAUGAAAUUGAUAUUCAUACAGCCUACUUCCAUGGGGAAACGCUCAAUAUUCGAGGCCAUAGGACAGAUGUGGCCAGCCUGUUCCCAGCCACUUUUGUUACAGCAGACAUGAUCCCCAGUAACCCUGGGAGAUGGCUACUGAGCUGUCAGAUCAAUGAUCACAUAGAAGCUGGGAUGGGAGCACUGUAUGAAGUCCGGCCCUGUUCUCGCCAAGCUCCGGCAUCCACCCUGGAGGGGAAAGUUCGGAAAUACUACAUAGCUGCAAAGGAGGUGCAGUGGGACUAUGGACCUUCAGGACUCGACCAAAGUAGUGGAAAACGGCUGAGUGAGGAAGGCAGCCCUGCUGAGCAGUUUUUCAAGCGUGGCCCUUACAGAAUUGGUGGAGUCUACUGGAAGGCAAAGUAUGUGGAAUAUACUGAUGAAAGCUUCCGUGAGGAAAAGCAGCAAUCAGAAGAAGAGAAACACCUUGGGAUACUUGGUCCAGUGAUCAAAGCUGAAGUUGGAGACACCAUCCUGGUGACGUUUGUUAACAAAGCCUCCUGGCCUUUCAGCAUCCAGCCUCAUGGAGUGUCCUAUGGGAAGGCGUGGGAAGGGAUGCGGUACCAUGAUGGUCUGUUUGAGAAUGGGGUUUCUGUUGCACCACUGCACAACUUUACGUACCGCUGGACCGUGCCAAAGCAUGUUGGACCUACAUCCAAUGACCCUCCAUGCCUGACCUGGAUGUACAGCUCUGCUGUGAACCCCAUCAAAGAUCCCAGUUCGGGCUUAGUAGGGCCUCUGAUUAUCUGCAAGCCAGGCACUUUGGAUGAGAACAACAAACAGAAAGGGAUCGACAAAGAAUUUUACCUUCUCUUCAGUGUGUUUGAUGAGAACCUCAGCUGGUAUUUAAAUGCAAACAUAAAGUACUACCUGAGGAUGGAAGAGGCUUCGGUGCAAAAGGAUGAUGACUUCGAGGAGUCAAACAGGAUGCAUGCCAUCAAUGGACUUAUGUUUGGUAACUUGCCUGAGCUGAAUGUGUGUGAAGGAGACAAUGUGACCUGGCACCUUCUGGGCUUGGGCAGUGAAGCAGAUGUACAUGGAGCUGUGUUUCAGGGAAAUACCCUGCAGAUGAAUGGGAUGCGGAGAGAUUCAACCAGUCUGUUCCCACACACAUUUGCUACUGCCUUCAUGCAACCUGAUAACAGUGGGAUCUUUGAGAUCUACUGCCAGACGAGUAAUCACUACCAGGCUGGGAUGAGGGAACGCUACUCCGUUUCAAAGUGUGGAAAAAGGGAUCCUGCUCCUGCCCUUCAGUACAGGGGUGUGCGGACGUAUUACAUCGUGGCAGAGGAGGUGGUGUGGGACUAUGCGCCUGACCGGAGCUGGGAGAGGGAACGGCACAAUCAUUCUGCAGAGAGCUACGCCGAUGUAUUCCUGAGCAAUGAGAAUGGACUGCUUGGCUCCAAGUACAAGAAGGCAGUUUACAGGGAGUACACUGAUGGGACUUUCCAGACCCCCAAGGCCAGGAUAAAUGGUGAUGAGCACCUGGGAAUACUAGGUCCUUUUCUGUGGGCGGAAGUGGGAGAUAUUCUCAACAUUGUGUUUAAGAACAAUGCCACACGACCCUACUCCAUUCAUGCGCAUGGGGUGCUGGAAAGGGAGACGGGACAGCCACAAGUAGCAAACCCUGGUGACAUUGUGACAUACCGAUGGGAAGUUCCUGAGAGAUCUGGCCCAGGGCCAAAUGAUUCAGCUUGUGUUCCUUGGAUCUACUACUCCAUGGUAGACCCAGUAAAGGAUAUGUACAGUGGUCUGAUUGGACCCCUGAAGAUCUGCCGGAGAGGAGCGCUGCGGUCUGAUGGUAUCAGGAAGGAUGUAAAGAGGGAGUUUGCUCUACUGUUCCUGGUUUUUGAUGAAAAUCAGUCCUGGUACUUGGAGGAGAAUGUGGAACAUUACAGUAGGGGAAAUCACAAGGAGAUCAACCUGCUGGAUGACAAAUUUGUGGAAAGCAACAAGAUGCAUGCAAUCAAUGGGAGGCUCUAUGCAAACUUGCCUGGGCUGACCAUGUUUCAGGGAGAGUGGGUGAACUGGUACCUGCUGGGAAUGGGUCAGGAGAUUGAUGUGCACACAGUCCAUUUUCAUGCCGAGACCUUCAUAUACAAGAAUGGCAAAAGCUACAGAGCAGAUGUUGUGGAUCUGUUCCCUGGGACCUUUGAAAUGGUAGAGAUGUUGGUUGGGAACCCUGGCACGUGGCUGCUUCAUUGUCAUGUGUCUGAUCACAUUCAUGCUGGGAUGGAGAUACUCUUCACAGUCUUGCCUAGAUCAGAGCCAGAGGUUGAAGCCGUAAACUACAGUGCAGAGCUGCCACUUGAGGAUAAGGAUGAGUCCCAGAAGAUAACGCUUUUUGGCUCUAAAUUGGCUCAAGGGCAGAUAGAGGCCACAGUCAUCGCUCUAGCCAUUGUAGGAAUAGUGCUUUUCCUGCUCGCCUGCUUCCUCCUUGGAGUGGUCAUCUAUCUGGAGAGACAAAAGAAAUUAAGACGCAAUCGGAGGUCUAUCCUGGAUGAUGGAUUCAAACUCAUGUCGAAAAAGAAUUCAGGGCUGUAACAGCCAUAUAAACUUUGGGCUGUGUGCUUGGAGCAGACGCUGGACCGUUAUCCACAGCAAAGAUUUUGGGGCAUCAUUUUAAUUCUACACCGUUCUUCUAGAAGCUAAGGAAGCAAAGCUGAAGCCCUGACCUCUGCUGUAUUUUCCUCAGCACUCUAUAAGGAAAAGUCCAUUCAGGAGAGAUAUGAGGGCCCUUUGAACUGACAGAGGACAACUAACAAGAGUAAAAUACUGCUCUUCCUCAAGAAAGAGAGGAGACAGUCCCCUAUUUUAUUCUCUCCAGAGCAACUCCCUUUGGUCUUAACAGACUAGCUUAGGCCAGAUUCCAGUCUUGCUCCAUUGCCAGAGCUGAGUUGGGAAUUGUUUCCCAAGAAACUGUGAGUCUUUGAAGUAAUUAAUCUGAAGGAGGAAGGUGAUCUUUUCCUUUUUUCACCCCCCCCCCCUUUUUUUUUUUGUGUGUGUGUGAAUAAACUAAGAAUACAGAAGGAAAAAAGUGUUAAUUUAGAUUUGGAUUGCUGGUUUUUGAGAAAUUGGACAGAUACUAGUUCUGGACAGUGUAUCUCACAGUGUGAGAUAAGUCCAUCAUGGACAUGACAACAGCCUUACUGUGACACAUCCGUCUGCUCUCAGCACCCCAGGCGAUGUGCUUUGAUACUCGACAUCCUGUGUUUUGUGCUGGGAGAAGAAGCUUUUCUGAGUAUUGCAGAGCAUCCUGGUGACUUCCCUGCACUGCAGUUCUGUCAGUCUGUGCAGUGGUGCAGCUUCUUGUGCAACAGGGUGUCAGGGAUGCUGUGGUGUGCUGUGGUGUUCUGUGGUUUGCUCCCUUUCAAAUACAUUUUGGUGAUGUUAUCUCCAGAAUUGAGCCAAUAUUGUGUUUCUGCUGAGCCCAAGGCUCAGUCUUGUGUGAGCUGGAGUUUAUGCUUGGCACAGAUGAAAUCAGGGAAUGCUUCCCCCAUUGUGGUGCAAUGAGAGUUUUGUUCAGGCAAAUGUGGCAACACUAAAUAAGCUGAAGUGCUGGUGGAAUUUAGCAGCAUGGAGCAAAUAAGCUGCAGGCUGUGGAGAGUGAGGUAGUGCUGCCUGAGAUAAGGGGAUGUUUGCAACAAUGAGAUGUUGUACUAAUGGGACCCUUGCCUUUUAGACAGCACAAAAUCAUGAGUGGAGCGGCCUGUCCUGGUAAAUAAAUACUCAUAGAGGAUUUCUGUCUACUGCACCCUCUUUGGCUAAUGACAGUCCCCAUGGGAGAGAAGCUGGAUGGUGGGGGACUCUGCUUGGAGCCAGGAAAGGAUGGGGACACAGUGCCACCCCUCUGGGCCUGGGUGUGCCUUUGGGUUGGGGUCAGAACCAAACUGUGGGAGUUAGUAGUGUAGCCUGUGACUAACCUCAGAGCUUUGUAGCCCACCCCAUAGGUUGGGAGCCAUCCUCCAGUGGCAGCCAUGCCCAUCAGUUGCAUUGCUCUCUGUGUUAAGUACCAAGCAGUUUCAUAUAAAAUACCUAUCUUCCUGGCUCACUCACUGAAUCCCCAUUAUCUAAAUGGAUGCAGGUUAGUGCUUACAUAUUUGUGUUCCUAGUUUUAAAUUGGAAAGGGCGUAAAAGAAAUCCUUUCUGGGUGGCUUUCAGAGGCAAUUAAAGCAGAGCCAGCUAAAUGGCUGUUAACGACAAGGGACUACUGUAGGUUAUUUAGGUGUAACAGCACCACUUCAGUCAGAACAAUAGUUACAACAUACUUAAUCAUGCUCAAUUCAUAUUGGGUCCCUAUGUAUUUCCAGCUGCUCUUUCCUUUCACAAUGGGGACAAAGCUCAUUAAUUUCCUUUCAUUACACUUCAUUAAGCCUGGUGAGGAGCUGGAGAACUAUUGAAUGCACUGAACGUGGGUACUCUUUGCUCAUUGUGAACCCUGGUACAGAGGCAGUUGCAAACCAGAGGUUUACAAGCCCACCAGUCCUCAGUGAAUUUUAGAAGCUAUGUCAUUGGAAGAAAAACCAAGCAGGAACCUUAAUUUCCCCAAAAAAUGUUCUGAGACAAAGCAGUUACUGUAAAUGUAUCCACUUUCUUCAAGAAAGUGGAAAGAGGGAAGUUGCCCUCCAGUUCUUCAGCCAGUAGCUAUAGGGCACUAAGCUGGACAACAGCAGGCUUGGGUUUCAGCACUGGCUCUGAAGCAGGGCAGCACAGGAACUGGGCUGUGUGUCUGGAUUUGCACAGUAGGCUGCCAAAGAUCCUCCAGUGUAGUGUUCUUUUUGGGCUGAGUGGAGCAUUGGUGGCGGAGGUGUCUUCUCCAGCAUUGGUAGUUGGGAUGCUCUUGAGCCCACACCCUAAGGAGGCCUCAGUGAGUGGCUGUUGUGGGAGAGGACUUUGUCCUCUAAGCAAUUCCACCCCAGGCUGAGAAAACUCAGAGGGAAGUUUCGGACAACACAGAUAAUUUUGCUAAAACUUCCGGUUGCAACAAACUGACAAAGAACAGUUUAUCGGCAGUUUUGCAACUGCCUCUAGUCAGAAGUUGGCUGUCCCAGCUGGUGGGCAGAGGAGGAGGAAAGAUGUUUCACAGUUCUGGUGUCUCUAAGCUGGAGAUGGCGAGCAAAUGAGCAUUUGCUUUGGCAGCAAGCCUUCUGUCUGAGCAUCCUACAGUGUCUUGUUUGUGCUUAUCCCUGGUGCACGUAUGGCUACCAAGGAGUCGCCUUCUCAAGAAGACAGCAUGGUGGGAAGGAUCAUGGUUUUGGCACUGCUGCUGCACAGGGAGACUCUGGGAUGACAAUAGCUCCCAUGCUGAGCUGAGGCAGCAGGUCAUGUGAGUGCAAAAUAAACUAGCUAAGGUAAAAGGCUGUUCUGUAGCGGUUCAAGAUCAAUAGUUUGCAAUAAUACACAGUAAAAAGGAUUAGAAGUGCUCAGGUAAUCCAUUAGCAUGGCUCAGCUCAUAGGAACAGAAGGACAAACACAUGUAUACAUGCUCUUUAGAUAGCUUGCUAUAGGAAACCUAAAAAAAACCCCACCACCCCACUUCAAUACACACUGCCAGUAUGAGUCCAGAACAGGUUUUAUCUUCAUGAAGAGCUGGUAUCUCUGGUUUGGUAGGGGACAAACAUAAGCAGCAGCUUGUUUUUCCUAUUAUAUUCACUUCAGGUAGUGCUUUUUGUCUGCAGUUCUAAUAUUGUCCUUCCUAGGCCCCAGUUAGACAUGAUAAACUUUUCAGAAGUUUGCCUAGAUCACCCACCUCUUUAAAGUUACCCACACUCCUCCAGGCUGUCUUAGGUGACAGCAAAGCUGCAUUACUCAUUAACAUGGCGGCAGCUGGAUGUUUGAGAUGAAAAUCCCUUUAUUAGUGCUGUCAUCUUGCUCAGAGAUGGGCACAGUUACUGCUACAUUACUUUAGCAGGCAGACAAUUGUGUCCUUACUCCAUGUCAGUGCCAGGCCAGUUUUCAACUGACAGUCCUUUAUAGUCUCAUACUAUGGAUGUGAGAGAGGUGCCAGUUAAAAGCAGGCUGCCUUUUGAAUGUACAUGUGGAAGUAUAAAAUGCUGCCUUUUUUUUUUUUUCCUCAAAACACAAAAGUUAAUGUCAAAUUAACCUGUGGCACACCAUAAAGACUAACACUGGUAAUUGCCAGUGAAAGGAUUUGAAUAUCUUUUCAGGUGUAAUGUAGUCUUUGGUUCUGAAUCAAAUGUGAGGCUUAAUAUGCAGCUUGCUUUGUAAUAUAUAAUUGCUAUGUGGACUGUUUACAGUGCUUAUAAUUUUGUUGGCACAGCAAAUUAUAGGAAUGAUUGUAAGUUUGGAGCUAUGUGCUGCCUGGGGAAAGGAAUUCAAGCACAGUGGCUGCCAAAACAAGGUGAUCUGCAAGAUCACAGUUGAAGGAUGGAUCUGAGUAGAAGUAAAAGCUGGCCUACAACUGAGUCCUAUAUGGAAUGUAAGAAUGAGGCAAUAUGCAUACACAAGGUACCAAAUUUGCCAAAGCAUUAGCCUCAAAGAAUUGAUUAAUUUAGUCACAGACUAUUCUGGUGAUGUGAGAACAGCAGGACUGGGCGUGUGAUUGAUGAAACAGCUAUUACUGGGAAUUAGCAUUUGUGGUGUUCGAAUUCAAAACCAGCCUGCCUUGGAAAUGAAUUUGUUUGUUAAUUUGCUCCUAUUUUGGGGAAAGUAAAUCUAUUACUCAGGAGGUGUUCUUUAUAAACCUCAUCCUUUGGUGUUCCUGAGGCAGGUUUCUUAAACCACAGGAAGGAUGGGAGAGAGAAAACAGUCACCUACCCCCAGUGAGCCCUAGAGGAAGAGUGAGGGAGUAAUUCACUCUACUGGGAGAAGGUACAGGCAGAAAUCCUGCUGUGUAAGGGACAGUUAAAUAGGUGUGAUGCUGCUGCUGGUGGUGUGUUUGAUGGGUGCAGGAGAGAAAAGCUCUCUUACUCUGUCAUCAAGAAGAACAAAGAAAUUACAUCAUAUCUUUGUGUACAGAAGGAUGUUGAUGGAGUGGGAAGUUUUGGAAUCUGUCACUGGAAGGAGCUUACAGAAAACCCUGCGUGUAAGACCUUCCUACUGAUAAGAUCCUUAUUUUUCACAUUUAGGGGUUAUUUUCUUCAAAUGAAAGCUUUCACUGUAGAAAUAAGCAAAGAACAGCCAUCUGCUUUCAGUCAGGCUGACUUGCUAUGUGAGAAACAAACAGGCAGAAAAAGCUUGGAUGCCAAGAGAGUAUGGUCCGUUCCUGCUGCCCACGGGCUCCUGUUGUCAAAGGCCACGUCCAAAAGCACAUUGGCUGUGCUGCAGGGGGGAGGUUCCUUCUCCACUUGUCGGUGCAAGAUAUGGCAAGUUCCUAAGCCAAACAUAACCUACAGCAGAGGCACCAGUUUUGGUGUUUACUAGUCAUUUUUCAGGUCUUGGCUAUCAUCACAGAUGGAGACAGUGGGCUGAGUGAUUUACAGUUAGAUUUGGGCGGGCUUUUCAAAACUUAACCUGUUGAACAAGGCAGCAUAAGGGAUUGUGCCUAUUCCAAUUUACAGACUCUCAAUUUGUUAAACAUCCAAAAAACCCCAAAGUGUAGCAGCAAUGUGAGUUUAAAACAGGUGUGUUGUUAGCUGGAUUGCAUUUAAUGGAAAGUGCUGCAGUGCUCCAGCUCACCUAGAGGAACUCGUUAGUGGUGUAUUGAGCUGAAAUAUUCUUCAACUUUCUUUCAUCAAUACUGUGAGUAUGCAAUUCAGUAGGUUACAACUGGCACGUGACCCCACAAAGCUUCCUUCCUGCUUCCUUUUUUCAGUGCAAAAGAAAUUCUUCCAGGGGAGAGUGCUGUUAUUUAAUCUGCACUUUGGUCUACAUGUUCAACAUCAGGCCUAUAAACAUGUACAGAUGCUCAUGGACACAUGCAUGGUUUUGCACUGGACCAACAUCUUGUAAAACAGUUGUAUAGGAUGCAGGAGGGUCCUUGUCAUCCUCUGCCACCCCUGUGGCAAAUCGCUUGUCUUACACAGAGGUCUUGCCAUGCUCUUAGACAUGCAGCUCUGUGUAAUGCUAAGCAGGUGUGACCUUGUUCCAUUUCUCAAAGCAUGUCAUGCAUUUAAGCUGUAAUCUCUUUUUGUUUCACAAAAAAAACCUAAACCAAAAACCCAACACACAUUUCCUGACUGAAGGGUUUUUCUUCAAUAGAAUUGAAACAGGCAUUCCAGCUCUGAUUUCUAAAAACCCGAGGGAGCUGUAUGUCAAAACUAUGAAUUCUCUUUAAAAUGGUGUUCACAAUGGAAAGUGGAAAUUAUCCUUUCAAGUUACAAAGAUGUUUCAUUUGAUUUUACAAGGUAUGACUGAAACUAUUCAAAAGAAAAAGGUAUUAAUAAAGUCUUGACUCAAGUUCUUCCCACUGCCUUUACCUUUUUGCAUUGCAGGAGAUUUACCCAAUCCCUCCUGUCAUCUGAAUCUUAGAAACCAUUGACGCAACUCCAAGGAAGCCUUCUAGGAAGUGCCAAGGAACAUUUUGAAGCUGCCCCUUCCUCAUGAGGUCCUGCUCCUUCCACUGCCUCCCUGCCCAUCCACACUCUCUCUGAAGGUUUGGCUGCAAGUUUUGUGUCAGAAUAGCUCAUGGCUCUCUGUUUUCUCUCUGGAGCUGUUAGAGAUCCUCAGCCUGGAGGCAUUUUGUGAAUUAGGCUGGAAGAACCAGCCAGGAUCCCUUGACAUUGCUUA